AAAAGUCUAAACAUUUAGGGCACUUUAAAGGAGAACACGACUGGGUGGCGGGGCAGGGGAAGGACGCACUGGGGAGCAGCUGCUUACCCCUUUGCCAUCCCAUCCUGGCCUGGCAGAGGUCUGGGACCUACAGGGAGCACCCUAGGCUCUCUGUACCCCCAGGACACCCCCUUCUGCCAAGUGUCCCAAAAUGAUUGCUAAAUGCCUGGCUCCCCUUUGACUCCAUCUCUGUUUCCCCUGUUUGCUGCCAGCUCCCCUAGCUCUUCCUCCCCCUUUCCUCUGUGCUCACUCCCCUUACUCUGCUGCCAGGCAGACACUCCUCUCCUUCCAUACCCAUCACUGCCUCCCUGCUUGGCCCUCCAUCCCUGCAGCAGUGAGAAGCCUUAAUUUCUGGUACUGUGUGAGCACUCUGGGGGUGUCCCCCUCUCCCUUCAGGGGCAGCUAGAGGAUGGGGGGAGGGUAUUUAGCACUGGGGCCUAGAGCUUCCCCCCAUAUCCUAUCACCCCUAAAAUUCAAAUGCAAACACUUGAAGCAGCAACUACUGAAGCUGGCCCAGACCCUGCGCUGUCCCCUGGCUCCUCAUGUGCAAACCAAGGGCUGCCUCUGCCCCACAGCCUGCUCCUGUCCCCUGGCCUGGCCCAGCCACGCACUUUAACCUUGCUUCUUUCUUUUGACUUCCUUUGGGGGAGGGGAGCCUGUGGCCAUUCCCUCCUGGCUCUCUUCUUCUUGGACUUUUGAGGCUUGUCAUGAAUUUUUAAGUAAGCAUUUUAUUCUUUUAGGGUAAGAAACAAACGAAUAUCCUGCCCAUUUCAAAACUACAGCCCUAAUGUACGUCCUCUGUGUCUCAGGCAUGUGUUUGCAUGCGAUGGAGGGAGGGACCAUGUUCUCCCUCCUGUGUCCCCCAAUCCCAGAGUUCCUCCAUGCCCUGUGUCUUGUCUACCUUCUGUCAUGUCCGAGAGUACCUACUGCCCCAGUCACUCCUGAUAUGAAGCCAAAGAUGGUGGGAAGGGCGGGAGCAGUGUGGGGACCUCUUAUUAGGGAAGCAGGCCUUCCUCCGUGGGAGGGGGAGCACUGGUCAAGGGGAGCAACAGAUGGACACUGGCUCAGUUCAGGCCUCUGCCCUCCCAGCAUGGGAAAGAUGGGCCUAGUAGACGCUGCACUGAUAAGGUUCUAGAAUGUACCCGAGAAGCCAAACUGGGCUGGAAUGAGGAGGGCAGUGUUCUCUUCAAAUGUAGCAUUGCAUCUGGCCCUGGUCCCUUCAGAUGCCCUGUCCAUCUCCUUGGUGAGCCUCUGCACAGUUGGACCCAAUCCCAUAACCCAGUGUCCCUUCCUCACACGCAAUACCUCAGCCAGGGGCCAAGACACAGAACUUGAAUAGAGGUCCUGCCCCUCCACCCCACAGUGCAUCCUUGCCCAGUUUGGCCACCAUCAGUAUUGCCCCUGAGAACUGAGAACUGGAUGGGCUUCGUUUACACAGCACAGGGGGUCCCUCCUGGGGAUCCCUCCACCUCCUUCCCACCCACGCUUGCGUCACCUACAUUCUUAGCCAUUUUUAGUUGUGUCCCUUGAAUGUCUUGCCACCCUUGCCAGGGGUGAGCUGAGGGGAGAGGGGCCAUCCCAGGGAGCCCUUCCUCCCGACAGAUCCCCUGCAUCAUACCUCAUGCUGGUCCCAGAAGCCUGGGGUGUUUGUCUCAACCUUUCUCUUUCACAGUCUCUGUUUAUCUUUGUGUUGCCGCCCCCAACCCUCAGAUCCUAAACCAUUUCAAGGCUUCCAAAUGACCAUUAUUGGUGAGAAGGACUGUGCAGCUUUUAGUUUUUAUUUUUAUUUUCAAAGCCAAAGGGCCUUGCAAUGCCCCUCUUGCCCACACCCCUCCAUGUCCUCUCCUUCCCUAUACGACAAUCAAUGUGACCUCUCUUAAGGGCUGCCGCCCCCACCCCCACCCUGCUGGUUCUGCAAAGCUUGUCCCCUAACUUCAAUUCUCUCUCCAAAAAUCUUCCCAUUUCACCCCCCCCCUCUCAUCUUGGUGCUGGGAAUGAGGUGGUGGGGGGAUGGGGAGCAGGAAAACGGUUUCCUGAGGUGACUGGGGUACCCGUCGUGUUCUCCUUUAUCAAUGCUUGGUGACAGAAGACAGGAGAGUCUGUGGAUUUGUCAGGAGCCCCGUUUUGUUUUGCUAGAUGAGAUUUCUGGUGGCUGUCUGCUCCCUGCUGUCCCGUGCAUACUGUCAGCAAUGCUGGGAAGAAGGCAGGGGUCCUCUGUCCCUCCUCAUGUGGCUGUGAGGAGGCCUGGAGGACAAGCAGCCUCCUCUCCUUAUGCCAAAGGAAAUCCCGCACCCCACCCGGGGUUCCCAGCCCCUGUGUUUUUUGAAGCAUUUUGACCAUUCUCAUGGCCACUGCAUAUUUAUUUUAAUGUUAAGAUUUUUUUUAAAAAAAAAAAAAAAACCUUUUUGACUUAAACGGGUGUGGAGAAGUAAAACAGGCAGAAUGCCCCCCAAUCUUAAGGGGGUGGUGUGGGGAGGGAACACCUCCUUCCCUCUCCUUCUCUACCCUCCCCUCUCCCCACCGCAGCUCUAAAGCACUUGCUUCAAGUAAUAAGCACUUUUGUGAAAAGGCCUAUUUACAUGAGGACCGGCCGGGGAC
rnacentral:lncRNA from 1 species